rnacentral:misc_RNA from 1 species
GACGUAGGGCGCGAGCGUUGUCCGGAUUUAUCGGGCGUAAAGAGCUCGUAGGCGGCUUGUUGCGUCGUCCGUGAAAACCUGCAGCUUAACUGUGGGCGUGCGGACGAUACGGGCAGGCUGGAGUUCGGUAGGGGAGACUGGAAUUCCUGGUGUAGCGGUGAAAUGCGCAGAUAUCAGGAGGAACACCGGUGGCGAAGGCGGGUCUCUGGGCCGAUACUGACGCUGAGGAGCGAAAGCGUGGGUAGCGAACAGG